UACGGGGGGAGCAAGCGUUGUUCGGAUUUACUGGGCUUAAAGGGCGCGUAGGCGGCUGACCAAGUCAGUGGUGAAAUCCUGCAGCUUAACUGUAGAAGUGCCUUUGAUACUGGUCGGCUCGAGGGAGGUAGGGGUCUGUGGAACUUCUGGUGGAGCGGUGAAAUGCGUUGAUAUCAGAAGGAACGCCGGUGGCGAAAGCGACGGACUGGACCUCUUCUGACGCUGAGGCGCGAAAGCUAGGGGAGCAAACGGG
rnacentral:rRNA from 1 species